GGAGCUGCACAGGAUGAGCGGAGGUGAAACCAGCUGAUGUCGGCAGCAAGCGUGGGAUGUGGGAAACCAAGAGAGGCUCUACACCAUCUAAGGUGCCAGUUGGAGGGAGAA